UAGCAUCACAUUUACAUUCACAACCACAAGUAGUGAAAUUGUUCAAAACAUUUAAUUUUAUAAUUUCUUUAGCUUGUUAAAAUAAUUAGGUAUAUAGAUUGUUCUUGUGUCAUGUAGCUCAUAUCUCUUUACAAUUGAAAUUUCUUAUAUCAAGGGGAUGCUUAGAUCUGAAACACUGAGAUUUGAAGUAGAGACAGUGCAUCUUAGCAUUAUAAAUCUUCCUGAGACAUCAUCAUAGAUCUAAAGCGAUUUGAAGAUGUGAGGCAGUAGAUCCUAUUUCUAAAAAAUUUCUAUCGAAAGAAAAUCAAGCAGUGAUAAUGUCGAUGCAUCUUCUCAAAGAUCUGAAGAUGUGAGGCAGUAGAUCCUAUUUCCAAAAAUAUUUUAUCGAAAGAAAAUCAAGCAGUGACUAUGUCGUAGCAUCUUCUCAAAGGCCCCUUCGCAAUUGAAAACAUUUCAUACAUUCUAUAAAUUUGAAGCAGUGAUCAAAUAGAACAUCACAUUUUUGUAGAUUUUCUUGUGAAGAGAUUUUAUCGAUCAACCGAUGAUCAUGUCAUUGCAUCUUUAUCGUUAUUCAAACAAAGGGAGUAAAACUUUGGAGUAAAUGAGGGAAAAAAAGACUCAACUGAGGUCAUUUUUUUGAAUAGAUUACUUUGAGUUGAAAGUUCAACGAAAGAGGAAGGCUCAAGUUUCAGAAUGAAUUCUUGAUUGAUUGAGG